rnacentral:rRNA from 1 species
UUCGCAAUGCCCGAAAGGGUGACGAAGCGACGCCGCGUGAGCGAAGAAGGCCCUAGGGUUGUAAAGCUCUGUCAGGGGUUAUGAAAUGUAAAACGGUUAAUACCCGGUUUAUUUGACAAAGGCCCCAAAGGAAGCCACGGCUAACUCUGUGCCAGCAGCCGCGGUAAUACAGAGGUGGCGAGCGUUGUUCGGUAUUAUUGGGCGUAAAGAGCACGUAGGUGGUUUUGUAAGUCAGAUGUGAAAGCCUUCUGUUCAAAGGAAGAACGGCAUCUGAAACUGCAGAUCUUGAGUGUAGGAGGGGAGAGUGGAACUUCUGGUGGAGCGGUGAAAUGCGUAGAUAUCAGAAGGAACGUCGGCGGCGAAAGCGACUCUCUGGCCUAUUACUGACACUGAGUGUGCGAAAGUUAGGGGAGCAAACGGGAUUAGAUACCCCGGUAGUCCUAACCGUAAACGAUGGGCACUAAGUAGAGGGGUUUU